rnacentral:rRNA from 1 species
AACACCGGCAGCCCGAUUGGUGAUCACUAUUAUUGGGUCUAAAGGGUCCGUAGCCGGUUUAAUCAGUCUUCUGGGAAAUCUAAUCGCUUAACUAUUAGGCUUCCAGGGGAUACUGUUAGACUUGGGACCGGGAGAGGUAAGAGGUACUGCAGGGGUAGGAGUGAAAUCUUGUAAUCCCUGUGAGACCACCAGUGGCGAAGGCGUCUUACCAGAACGGGUCCGACGGUGAGGGACGAAAGCUGGGGGCACGAACCGGAUUAGAUACCCGGGUAGUCCCAGCUGUAAACGAUGCUCGUUAGGUGUCAGGAACGGUGCGACUGUUUCUGGUGCCGAAGGGAAGCCGUGAAACGAGCCACCUGGGAAGUACGGCCGCAAGGCUGAAACUUAAAGGAAUUGGCGGGGGAGCACUACAACGGGUGGAGCCUGCGGUUUAAUUGGACUCAACGCCGGAAAACUCACCGGGGGCGACAGCAAUAUGUAGGUCAGGUUAAAGGUCUUACCUGAAUCGCUGAGAGGAGGUGCAUGGCCGUCGUCAGUUCGUACUGUGAAGCAUCCUGUUAAGUCAGGCAACGAGCAAGACCCGUGCCCACUGUUACCAGCAUAUCCUUUAUGGAUGAUGGGGACUCUGUGGGGACCGCUGCUGCUAAAGCAGAGGAAGGUGCGGGCUACGGUAGGUCAGUAUGCCCCGAAUCUCCCGGGCUACACGCGGGCUACAAUGGUUGGGACAAUGGGCAUCUACUCCGAAAGGAGUUGGCAAUCUCUUAAACCCAAUCGUAGUUCGAAUUGAGGGCUGUAACUCGCCCUCAUGAAGCUGGAAUCCGUAGUAAUCGCGUUUCAACAUAGCGCG